UUUAUCUAAUCUAUAACCUAUAUAAAAGAGUGUAAGAAUAGUAUAACGCGGUCUAACGCUCCUGCUUGCCUCUGCUUGCUUUCUAACGUUUUCCAAGAGACCUGUGUUGGAUAUAAAAAGUGUAUAAGCUUGGUAUAAUGCUCCUACGAAGCGGUGGAAAUUGAAGAAAAGUUGAGCUUAUACAUACACACAUGUGCAGUGAAAAGACUGCAACUCUCAACCUGCGAAGCGGUGGAAAUUGAUUUCUCCUAGAAGAUUCAUUUGUUCGGUGCACCGCUCGGAUAACAAUUGAUUACAAAGCCAUGUCUAUAUAUAUAUAUAGAUAGAUAUGUGUGUAUACCCUCUUGGUUGAAAGAAAAUUUCAUUUAAACGCAGCUACUCCUCUGCACCGUUCUAACGCUUGAGCAUUCUCAAUUAUCUCAAUUGCCCCUGAUGUUGCUCGUGGAUGAGUCCAAGGCGAAGCUGGUCAUCCAUGAUGUUGCAACCCUCAGUAUGAACAGAUGUGCUGUCUUUACACUGUACUAUCCACGUGGUUGUAGAGACCUACUUCAUCUUCCAACCGAUCGAUCAACCAACCAACCGGAAGCCACCUUCUCUACCUCCUAGAAUUUCCUUGUUCAGUGCCAUAGCUAUGGAUGUGUCAUAUUUGAAUCAUCCGUCAUUGCUCCAACUGUGGACCAUCAAGAGAGGAAAUCACCGAGGUACAACGCGUGUUGCCGAUUGACGAUUUCCUUCCUCAAAACUACUACUAAGCUGCUCGUCCAUGGCGGUGUGACUGGCUCUGUUCUGGUGGCGUCAAUUCCAUGUGCUUAAUGACAAAGCCUGUAAAAAUCAGUUGGUUGAAGUCGGUAUCCAAAAUCGUUCCCUUAACCACAGUGUAUGCAAUUUUCUCUUUGUUAUAUUCGUCCAAUCUGUUACUUUGCAUAUUGGUAGAGUUUUGCAUGCUAUGUUCUUUUGCCGUUUUUGUGUAGUUGAAUUUUUGUGCGUGGAACACUUUGCACAACAUCUGUUUGACAAUAUCCUCAUAAGAGCAACAAAAAUUAGUGUAUAAAUUUUUUGUGUGUGAUUGAGCUACCCAUUAGAACUACUUGAUAUUCUAAUUUGACUCUUAAGAGUAUUAAUAUAGACUGAAGAUGUGACAUGCUAAUAUCGAUUUUAAGAUUAUCAUAGCAGCAUACACAAGAGCCAAUAUUAUGGAAUAGUUUUUGCUAAAUAAAGUAUAAAAUUUAACUUGUAAAAAUGCAAGAAGAGUAAAAAUAUUUCACUGAUAUUUUGUAGUAGUUUGUUCAAUUUUAUUGUGCUAUCAUAACAUGAGAUUCUAUUUAAUGUUUGUGGUGAUUUUUUCUUCUUUGUGUGUGUGUGUAGUAGUAGUAGUAGUGGUAGUAGUAGUUUCUUUUUUGUUUUUUUAUUUUGUGGUUCACUAUGUUCAUUAUCCAUUUAGCAUUUUAGGCAAUUUGUUUGAGGGGCACAGUUGGCCAUCUUCGACCAUGCCAUGAGACGCCUGCUGAUAGAGCAAUAUUAAAAGAUACUUUCCAGGAUUGGAAGACUGAAAGAUAUAAGGAAAUUAUCAAAUCUGGAACUAGGAACAAAAAAACAAAACACCAGCAACUUGGAGCAUUGGAAGUUUUUUUUCUCUGAUGACUGUCCUACUUUACCUGAGAGUUCCAAGGAGGCGGUGGAUAGCAGACGGUGUGGUUUGUUGUGUUCCUCAAACAAUGAUGCCAUGAACAAGUAUUCUCAUUCCCUUCUAAUUUGAGAAAAUCCAUGUUUAAUAGUGUAGAGCUUGUAUGAACUUCUUGUUGGUUCAUUGUAGCUUUACGAGUCUAAUCAUGGUAGCACCAUAAUGGCUAGCUUGAUUUGAGGUCCAUGUGAAGUUCUUUUAUUGAAGAAAGAGAGAGAAGAUCACAUUUGGAGACUGGGGCAAAUGAUCAACCACUUUUCUGUGCAAAGAACCGUUGGUCAUCAUUCACACUACAGCAAAUGUGGCAUGGUUUGACAAGAAUUUUGCGUAGAUUUUUUUUUUUUGUAUAUGAGGUAUUGUUACCAAAUAUGCUUGAUUAUAAGAUAAUAAAAUAGUUUUUUUAAUAAAUUUACUUUAUUAAGUUUAAUGAAUAAUUUCUAAAUCAAAUAUAUAUAUAAAAUGCAAGAAGGUAGGCUAGAUCUCUAUUAAACAUAUAAUCGUGAAUUUUCUUUGUCCAUAUUUAAUUGCUUAACCAUGA